UCCGGUCCUCGGUAGUGGUCUCCGGAGCCUCGCUCCGUGGUCCUCGAUCGAAGACCGCC
rfam:Cellulomonas gilvus ATCC 13127 chromosome, complete genome.